CCAGGGAUCUGCAGGAUCUUCCUCUGUUCUUGUGUUUUCUGGUAUCGGGAAUCGGGAAUCGGCGACUGCUGUUUUGUAAACACUCAGUAUGAGUUCCAAUUCCCGGGUGCUUGGACGUUGCGGAUCGGCUAAAAAACGCAUCGGAGGCGGCGAUUUCCCUUUUUUUAAGCCAGCUAUCGGAAAUCAGUUAAAAUGUGUGAAAAAUAUGAAAAUCCAUAAAUGGCAUAUGUUUCUCAUGCUCGCUGGGAAAGUGUUAAGUGUGAUGUGUUGUAUCCUUUGGACACCGGAUGUCCAUGUGCUGGUGAUGUGUUUAGUAAAAAAGUUAUAUUUAGGCUACAAAAAAAGGAUACAAAUUCUGGCUAUUUGGUUACCAAAAUUGAGCUCUCACAAAACAAAUAAAUUGGCCAGCAACCCUCAAGGACUCUCCGGCAGGACUGUCUUCGUUGUUCCAAAUUAAAAAUUCCAAAAACGUUUCGGAGGGCCGCCGGCUUUCUUCCCGAAAGGAGAGAGUGAGUGGAGAAAUGCGGAGCAGGAGAAUGGCAGGAGCGUGAGCACCUCCAAAGUUACUCACUCAAAUCGAAAAGGCCAAGCCCAUUUUCUGGUGGUGGUGGUGCUGCUGGUGAUGAAAUGUUGGAUUUUUUCUGACUCGCUCAACCACCGCCACACAUUUCCAGUUUCGACGAGCUGCAGCGCAGACGUCGCUUGGCGGCGCGACGGAUGAGCGAUUUUUGGCCCAAAGACCUCAAAGCCUCGGAUGGAACAAAAAUUAUAUCAAAGGUAGAGCAGAAAAGUUAAAAAAUAAAAUACAUUUUUAAUUUGAUGAUUCUUAACAUCUAAAAAUACAUUUGAAGAAAUAAUUAAAAACAAAAAAAAAGUUAUUGUAAGAUUUGAAAAUAAUGUAAAAGAUUUAUGUAAUUUUUUCAAGACCAAAAAAAAAGUAUUUUUUUACAAGUAAAGCUUAAAUUAAAAAACAAUAAAUAUUAAAAUUAAUUUUUCUUCUCUACUGUGGAAGAUACAAA